GACAGAGGGUGCAAACGUUGCUCGGAAUUACUGGGCGUAAAGCGCGUGUAGGCGGACCGGUGUGUCGGAUGUGAAAUCCCUGGGCUCAACCCAGGAACUGCACUCGAAACUACCGGUCUAGAGUGGUGGAGAGGGAAGUGGAAUUCCUGGUGUAGAGGUGAAAUUCGUAGAUAUCAGGAGGAACACCAGUGGCGAAGGCGGCUUCCUGGACACCAACUGACGCUGAGACGCGAAAGCGUGGGGAGCAAACAGG
rnacentral:rRNA from 1 species